rnacentral:rRNA from 1 species
GGCGUUUUUACGUUUUUGAUCAGUCCAAAUUCCUUGGAAUAGGAUAUCAUGGAGGGUGAGAAUCCCGUUCGGCUAAUCGAUACGUUUACGAUACGCUUUCAAAGAGUCAAGUUGUUUGGGAUUGCAGCUUAAAAUGGGAGGUAAAUUUCUCCUAAGGCUAAAUAUUGGCGAGAGACCGAUAGCGAACAAGUACCGUGAGGGAAAGAUGAAAAGUACUUUGAAAAGAGAGUUAAACAGUACGUGAAAUUGUUGAAAGGGAAACGAUUAAAGUCAGUCGUACCGACGUAGUAAUCAGCGCUUCGAAUGCGAUUUUGUGGUUCAUGAGGAAUCUAACGAUCUUCAUGUUUGCAAAUUUGUACUCUUUGGGCGUAUUUUCUCGUAUGGUAAGUUAACAUCAAUUUCGUUCGUUAUAAAAUGAUUGGGGAAAUGUAGCUUUGAUCUCGUAUUGAAGUGUUAUAGACCCUGGUAGAUGUAAUGAUCGGGAUUGAGGAUUGCAACGGAUGCUCUUCGGGGCUAUUCGUCUGGCCUCUGUAGGUCACCUUAGUGUCGAAAGCUUGCUUAUGGCAUCAAGGAUGGUUUUCAAAAGGUUAGAACGGAUUAAAUUCGUUAAGGAUGUUGACGUAAUGGCUUUAAACGACCCGUCUUGAAACACGGACCAAGGAGUCUAACAUAUAUGCGAGUGUUUGGGUGCAAAAACCCUUACGCGUAAUGAAAGUAAUUUAGAUGGGAACAUUUUUUAUGCGCACCAUCGACCGAUCAGGAUAUUUUUUGAUAGAUUUGAGUAAGAGCAUAUCUGCUAGGACCCGAAA